UCCCGCUCAAAAUGUGAUCCCCUGCCCUAAUUUCUAAACUGCCUCUCCAAUAAUCUAAGCAGACUUUCUUUCUAUGCAUUUCGAGUGCUUCGAAAGAUAACUCUCUCUCUCUCUCUCUCUCUCUCUCUCUCUUUAACGUUGGUUGACGAUGUUCUACAACGAACAAUAGCGGGUGGGUUUCAGACGACUCAGCGGUGAUUGACGGUAUGGUAUGUUCUUCCUAUUGAAGUCUUAAAUGUUUGUUUUGCGUCAUUGUGUUUCAGUUCGAUUUUGUGAAAGAAUAUGACAGUUCCGUCAUCUCAACCGGCUAAAUCCGGCGCUGGAAAGCAGAAAAAGGUCAUAAAUCGAUCAAUCAAUGGCCCUAUAAUGGUUUGGGCCCUGAUCGCAGGCCCAUCCUGCACAUGUGGAUAGCCAGCCCUGUGUAGAUGUAUGUGCAUCUUUGUAUUGGUAAUUGUGUGGAAAUUUUAUUACAUUUCUGCAAUUGUGUAGAACUCCAGCCAUGAGGCAUUCCAGCUCGCAUUUUGCAUUUUCUUUGCUGAAUGUUUUUCUCAAACUGAAAAUGGUUAUGGUUUUAAUAAGGAUAAUAGGGUCACCCUUAAUUUUCUUUCAAAAAUUAAGCUUACACAAGACCAGCUAAGAGAAUCGUUGGCUGCUGGAAUCAGGAAACAUUUGGAAACCGCCUUAUGGGUACAUGUCAUAUAGCGCUACCCCUGCCUCAUCCUUCUUAAUUCUCCAUUGCGCCAUGUCUGACUCCUCACGAAAAGCUACAUCAGUUUUACCUUUCUGUUUCUACUUCUCUUUAUAAAUCGGAAAUUUUAUCAUUCUUGUUUUUAGUUUUGCAUGAUUACACUUUCAAGCUGUCCAGCAGGGAUGGAGACAGAGACCAGGACCAGAGUUCGAGAGAUAGAGAAAGGGAGAGGAAAGGGAGAGGAAAGGCAGAGAUAACGAUAGAGAGAGAUCAAAAUCAAGGUUGGGCUUUCUCAGAUUGCACAACUGAAGCUUUAAAGGGCAAUGGUUGUGUAUGCUACACGAAGUGGUGCCAGCAUAAGGGUUAAACUCAACUUGGUCAACGCUAGGGUGAGCACUUAAUUCCAUAUUUAAAUUGUUGCUGGAAUGAUAUCUAAACAUAAGAACCCUUUACUUUAAAUUUAAACCGUAUCGAUUUCACACUUCUUUAUAUUUUUAAUUGUGUAUUGUCCAUGUCACCAUGUGGCUACUAUGUGAUGAAGUUCAUGGAGAUAGCUUAUAAAGGUUGUUGAAAUACUUGACAAUGACAAUGUAAGUUUAGGCAAAUUUUAGCUUGCCUAUUAGAGAAAUAUGUACUUUCAUGUUCAAACAAAUGCUUAAAUUCAUAGAUUUAGAUUUAGUCUUGAAAUUAAUAUUUAAAUUUCUAGAUUAAGAUUUAAAAUACUGAUUUUAAGAUUUGUUUUUUUCACAUGGCUAC